rnacentral:miRNA from 1 species
AGUGACGUUAGCAGGCAGUGUUAGGAUAGUGGUUAAGAACCCUGGCUCUGGAGUCAGAUCGAAUGUGGUUCUAGAUCUGCCAACUAAG